rnacentral:rRNA from 1 species
GCGAACGGGUGAGUAACACGUGGGUAACCUGCCCAUCAGAAGGGGAUAACACUUGGAAACAGGUGCUAAUACCGUAUAACACUAUUUUCCGCAUGGAAGAAAGUUGAAAGGCGCUUUUGCGUCACUGAUGGAUGGACCCGCGGUGCAUUAGCUAGUUGGUGAGGUAACGGCUCACCAAGGCCACGAUGCAUAGCCGACCUGAGAGGGUGAUCGGCCACACUGGGACUGAGACACGGCCCAGACUCCUACGGGAGGCAGCAGUAGGGAAUCUUCGGCAAUGGACGAAAGUCUGACCGAGCAACGCCGCGUGAGUGAAGAAGGUUUUCGGAUCGUAAAACUCUGUUGUUAGAGAAGAACAAGGAUGAGAGUAGAACGUUCAUCCCUUGACGGUAUCUAACCAGAAAGCCACGGCUAACUACGUGCCAGCAGCCGCGGUAAUACGUAGGUGGCAAGCGUUGUCCGGAUUUAUUGGGCGUAAAGCGAGCGCAGGCGGUUUCUUAAGUCUGAUGUGAAAGCCCCCGGCUCAACCGGGGAGGGUCAUUGGAAACUGGGAGACUUGAGUGCAGAAGAGGAGAGUGGAAUUCCAUGUGUAGCGGUGAAAUGCGUAGAUAUAUGGAGGAACACCAGUGGCGAAGGCGGCUCUCUGGUCUGUAACUGACGCUGAGGCUCGAAAGCGUGGGGAGCGAACAGGAUUAGAUACCCUGGUAGUCCACGCCGUAAACGAUGAGUGCUAAGUGUUGGAGGGUUUCCGCCCUUCAGU